CUUAAAAAUGCUAGGUAGCGAUAAAGUUUCGACCUUUACCCUGAGUGAUACUCUUUUAAGG
rnacentral:tRNA from 1 species